UACGUAGGAUGCAAGCGUUGUCCGGAAUUAUUGGGCGUAAAGAGCGAGCAGGCGGUUUGGAAAGUUGGACGUGAAAUUUUAGGGCUUAACCCUAAAGGGUCGUCCAAAACUCCCAGACUAGAGUGCAGGAGAGGAAAGCGGAAUUCCCGGUGUAGUGGUGAAAUGCGUAGAUAUCGGGAGGAACACCAGAGGCGAAGGCGGCUUUCUGGCCUGUAACUGACGCUGAGGCGCGAAGGCUGGGGUAGCGAGCAGG
rnacentral:rRNA from 1 species